GCCGGAGAAGGCGCCUGAGAGAUAGCGACUUUAUCCACGGGUAGCAGCAGGCGCGAAACUUUCCCACUCGAGACUUUCGGAGGAGGUAAUGACCAGUUCCAUUGGUGCCUUUUGGUACUGUGGAUAGGGGUACGGUUUUCCACCGUACCGAAACCUAGCAGAGGGCCAGUCUGGUGCCAGCAGCUGCGGUAAUUCCAGCUCUGCGAGUUUGCUCCCAUAUUGUUGCAGUUAAAACGCCCGUAGUCUGAAUUGGCCAGCAAUGGUCGUACGUAUUUUUACGUUCACUGUGAACAAAUCAGGACGCUUAGAGUAUGGCCACAUGAAUGACUCAGCGCAGUAUGAAGUCUUUGUUUUCUUCCGAAAACAAGCUCAAUGAGAGCCAUCGGGGGUAGAUCUAUCUCAUGACGAGUGGUGGAAUACUUUGACUCAUGAGAGAGAAGCUGAGGCGAAGGCGUCUACCUAGAGGGUUUCUGUCGAUCAAGGGCGAGAGUAGGAGUAUCCAACAGGAUUAGAGACCCUGGUAGUUCCUACCUUAAACGAUGCCGACAGGAGUUUGUCAUUUGUUAAUGGCAGAAUCUUUGGAGAAAUCAUAGUUCUUGGGCUCUGGGGGAACUACGACCGCAAGGCUGAAACUUGAAGGAAUUGACGGAAGGGCACACCAGGGGUGGAGCCUGUGGCUUAAUUUGAAUCAACACGGGGAAACUUACCAGGACCAGAUGUUUUUUAUGACUGACAGGCUUCGGGUCUUUCAGGAUAUUGUUUUUGGUGGUGCAUGGCCGUUGGUGGUGCGUGGGUUGACCUGUCUAGCGUUGAUUCAGCUAACGAGCGAGAUUAUCGCCAAUUAUUUACUUUGCCGAAGUCCUUCGGUUUAAGUUCUAAUUGGGACUCCCUGCGAUUUUA
rnacentral:ncRNA from 2 species